CAAUGAUGUGUUUUAUAUUUGCUCAUCCUAGCCUCUGAAGGUUCGCUUAUGCCACAAGGAAGACGUAACACGGUUUGGAUCGUUAAGAUCCGGCAUUUAUAUUCAAUGCCAGACGAUUUAUUAAAAAGCAUGUACAUGUAUAUAAGGUAAAGUGAAACAAGACAAUAUAACAUUAAGUUGGACGGCCAUGGCUUGAAAAGAUCUGGCAUUUAUAUUCAAUGCUUUUCAUUAAAAACAUGUAUUAUAAGGUAAAGUGAACAAGACAA